CAUGCAAGUCGAACGAGAGACUCUUCGGAGUAGUAAAGUGGCGAACGGGUGAGUAAGACAUGGGUAAUCUGCCUUUGAGCGGGGGAUAACCAGCCGAAAGGCUGGCUAAUACCCCAUACGCUUCCGGUCCCUCGGGUAAGGAAGGAAAGCCGCAUCGUGGAUGUGGCACUCGAAGAUGGGCUCAUGGCCUAUCAGCUUGUUGGUGGGGUAACGGCCUACCAAGGCAACGACGGGUAGCUGGUCUGAGAGGACGAUCAGCCACACUGGCACUGAGAUACGGGCCAGACUCCUACGGGAGGCAGCAGUGAGGAAUAUUGCGCAAUGGGCGAAAGCCUGACGCAGCGACGCCGCGUGGGGGAAGAAGGUUUUCGGAUUGUAAACCCCUUUUAGGAGGAAAGAUGGGGUGGUUUUCCACCCGGACGGUACCUCCAGAAAAAGCCACGGCUAACUUCGUGCCAGCAGCCGCGGUAAUACGAAGGUGGCGAGCGUUGUUCGGAUUUACUGGGCGUAAAGAGCACGUAGGCGGUUUAGUAAGCCCCUUGGGAAAGCUAUGGGCUUAACCCAUAAAGGUCGAGGGGGACUGCUAAGCUAGAGGGCGGGAGAGGAGCGCGGAAUUUCCGGUGUAGCGGUGAAAUGCGUAGAUAUUGGGAAGAAGGCCGGUGGCGAAGGCGGCGCUCUGGAACGUCUCUGACG
rnacentral:rRNA from 1 species